GGCAACCCGCUGGGGUCUCCUUCCCCCCUGUGGAGGCUUUGUCCUUUUGCUCUUUGCAAUAAAUCUUGCCACUGCUCACUCUUUGGGUCUACACUGCCUUUAUGAGCUGUAACACUCACCGCGAAGAUCUGCAGCUUCACUCCUGAAGCCAGCGAGACCACGAACCCACUGGAAGGAAGGAAUAACUCCAGACGCGCCGCCUUAAGAGCUGUAACACUCACUGCGAAGGUCCGCAGCUUCACUCCUGAGCUAGGGAGAUCACGAACCCACCAGAAGGAAGAAACUCCAAACACAUCCGAACAUCAGAAGGAACAAACUCCGGACACGCCGCCUUUAAGAACUGUAACACUCACCGCGAGGGUCCGCGGCUUCAUUCUUGAAGUCAGUGAGACCAAGAACCCACCAAUUCCGGACACACCAGCACCCGGAUCUCAGACCUCUGGCCUCCGGAACUACAGAGUCUUGCUCUGUCGCCCAGGCUGAAGUGAUGAGGCACAAUCUGGGCUCACUGCACCUCCGCCUCCCGGGUUCAAGCGAUUCUCCUGCCUCAGCCUCCUGAGCAGCCGGGAUUACAGAGUCCCUGUCAUCCAGACUGGAGUGCAGUGGUACAAUCCCGGCUCACUGCAACCUCCGCCUCCUGGGUUCAAGCGAUUCUCCUGUCUCAGCCUCUCAAGUACCUGGAAUUUCAGGCAUGUGCCACCGCACCCCAUGUAAUGUCCCGAUCUUGAUGGAUGCACUCUGGUUAUAGAAAUGUCCUCAUUUUAAGGAAAUACAUGCCAAAGUAGUAAAGGCUCAUGGGGCAUCAUAUUUGCAACUGCUCUCACCUGGUUCAGAAAAAUUUAAGAGCAAUAAUACAUAUAAAUGUGUAGAUAGAAUAAGAAGACAAACAUGGUAAAAUGUUAACAACUGGGGAAUCCGGAUGAAAGGUGUACGGAAGCUCUUGUGCUACUACACCUGCAACUUUUCCAUAAGUUUGAAAUUGUUUCAAAAUGAAAAAAAUGUACAAGUAUCCUAGAAAAUGCAAACUCAUCCGAAGUGAUGGAAAGUAGGUCACUGGUUGUCUGAGUGGGAUGGGCCAGAGGAGAGAGGAGUCAGGAUUACGAAGGGGGCACAACAAGGAAACUUGGCGGGGAGGAUAUGAAUAUCCUUUUUUUUUUUCUUUUUUAGAGACAGGGUCAUGCUCUGUCACCCAGCUCAUAGCUCACUGCAUCCUCAAACUCCAGGGCCCACGGGAUCUUCCUGCCAAGCAACUGGGACUACAGGCUCAGCCCACCAUGCCUGGCUGUUUUUUUUUCUUUUGGUGGAGAUGAGGUCUCACUAUGUUGCCUGGGGCUGGUCUUGAACUCCUGGUCUCAAGGAAAUCCUCCCACUUAUGACUCCCAAAGCACUGGGAUUACAGGCGUGAGCCACCUUGCCCAGCCAUGUUCAUUAUCUUGAUUGUGUCAAUUGCCUCUUUGGUGUAAAAUAGGUCGAAAUUUACUAUGUUGUACACUUUAAAAAUCUAUUAAUAGGUUAAAUAACAUGAAAUAAUUGUUUUUAAAUCCCUAAUAUUUGCCUAGGGAAUACAACCAACCUCUUCAUCACAUGAAGACAUUUUUUUCAUGCUUUUCCAUGUUCCUGAAAUGCCCUCCCCUAGGAGCUUCCUCCAAUUUAUCUACUCUUUCACAUUCAAGAAGGUAAUGGAGUUCCAUCUUCCUCCAUUAACUCCCCCAUACUGAAAUCUGCUAUAUCUUUCAUUCAUUUGAAUCUUAUUGUUACAGUACAUACAAUGGAAAUCUAUAAUAUUUUUAUUGCUAUAGUUAUCAUUUCAGUUGUUAUGUUUUCUGCUUAUUUUUGUAUCAGAGUUGAAUCAAGAUGUUUAAGUCUCUAGAGAGUUAAGUAUUUUGUAGGAGGAAGAAUAUCAAGGUUGUGAAAAAAAAAAAAAGCCUUGUUGUGGCUGAGAAACUGGGCUGGAGUCAGGAGGCUGGUGAUGGCCCCAGUUCUACCACUAACUAGCCAUGUGCCUACGAUGCUUCAUUUCACCUCUUGAGAUCUAAAUUUCCCCGUACGUCAAAGCAAAGGUGAGGUCAAUGUCAUCUAUGAAAUGUUCUUGACUUUCAAAUUAUUUGAGUAGUGGCCGCUAGAUGGAACCCAUGAACCCAUAUCCAUACAUGAGCAUUUCAAGGAGAGGUGGUGCUGAAGCAGGAAGCCAAAAAGCCAGGGUGACAGAUUAUCCUGUGCUUCGUGCAACAAGGGUAGUCUGUAGGAACAACAAGAGAAAUUGUCUCUCUCAGACAGUGGUGUCCUAGCCUAGACAUGUGGGCUAGGAAAUUAGUGAUCAGAGGAAGUCAGACCAAAGCCAAAGUCAGAGACAUUUUCUGUUCUCCUCUUCACUAAACCCCAAGGCUCUUUAGCAUGAAGUAUGCAGACCCUGUGUGAUUUUCUGUGUUAUCUAAAGUAAAACUUAUUAGAGUUCCACAUAUUUUUAACCAAAUAUGUUUAAUGAACAUUGUUCUGAGAGAAAGGGGAUUCCAGUCGCUUCUGUCAAAGGCAUUCAAGGAUAUGGAGAGAAAUAGCUUUUUAGAAUUUGAAAAUAAAAUUUCUAUGAAAUUGGUCAAAAUGGAUGAGAAGGAAAAAACCUCUCAAGCGGUAGGUAGGUAGAAAAACGAUCGCUUUGUGCCAUUUUUAUAUGUUAACAAAUUAUGUUAACAUUUAUUGAACACGUCAAACACUGCAGUAUAACUGAUUCUUCAAUAAGUGUAUACAAGUCACACAUAGAAUGAGUGGCAUGCUGGGUGCUCCCUGAAUAAUCCUUUUCUUUUACCAGUUAAGUUUCCUGCUGAAUAUUUCGAAACUCUUUGCAAACUGACUUCAGCACCUCUGUGGGAUAUUCCCUUCCACUGCCAACCCUUAGUUGUCAGAAACUCUGUCUUUGGGAAGCAUGCUACAUUUUCUAGAACAAAUCUAGAUACUUUAGAAAUGAUGGAUGAUGAUGAUGAUGAAUGAUGACACACUCUGAUGCAAUUCAUAUAUCACAAUAUUAUCCAGAUCCAACAAACACUGAGAAAAUGGUGUUUUGCAGCAAUUUUAAUUCCUUUAUUUCUCAAACAUCUUUGUCAAUAGUCAUUUUUAAUGUUAUUUUAUAGAUGAUGGAACAAUCUUAGAGAUGUUAAGUAACUGGUACUAAUAAAUACAGAUGGCAAAGACAGAAUUCAAAAUCUGGAUCUCUUGAUUUAUUUUACUUUAUUUUUUAGAGACAGAUCUCGCUUUGUCGCCUGUCAAUGGCUAGAGUGCAGUAGCGUGAUCAUAGCUUACUGCAGCCUCGAACUCCUGAGCUCAAGCAACCCUCCCUCCUCAGCCUUCCCAGGUCUCCUGAUUUCAAGUACAGUUCUUGCCAACACACAGUGGUAAAGGGUAUGAUUACCUAAGCCUUAGCACAGAAGGUAGCACCCCUCACUGGUGAGCUAUCAUGAAACUAUGCGACAAUUUUCUCCAUCUUUUUUAGAGUUGUUUUCCUUGUCUUCCUCCUCAUCACGAUUAUUAUUGCUUUUUCAUUCAGCAAAAAAUCUGGUAGGAGACUGCACAGAAGCAUGAUCACUUGUUAUCAACAGUGUAACCCUACCUAACUUCCCUAAUCUCUAGCAAAUGAAGGAAAAAUCAUAUACAGGCACUGACAAAUAGCAACACAAGAAAGGGCAACAAAAUUACUAAAGAGUAACGCCAUCCUCCCCAACUCAAACCAGGGAAAGUAAUCUUGCCUAGGAACUUAGGCUGAAAUUCACCACAGUGCCAAAAACCUGUUUUCUUAAAAAGAGGUAGUGCAGAUAGUGAAUCCACUGAGCCACAUAGGGUGGGAGUUUGCUUUAAGUGCUUUUCUUCUUGCCCACAAACUAGCGUAGGCUGUGACUGGCUCCAGCUGAUCCUUAUCAAGGCAGCUAGUUCUGAGGGCUUGGUUAAGAAGCUCUUCAUUUACUUAAGAGAGCAAAGAGAAGACACAUGAAUUGGAAAAGGAUAUCUAAAAUGUCCCCUAAGGCUUCAUAAAGUUGACAUCUUUCGUCAUGACUUCUACAGUUCAGGAAACCAGGUAGCAGUAAACAAUUAUGAACUCUACUCACUCGCCCUAUCACUUUCACAUCAGACUGGGGGUAUUGUCCUUUGAACAGAAGGCUCAUGAGGAAAGCGCAGAUUCCUUCCAGGUGGGAAGAAAGCUUUGUCCCUGCUCCAUGUCUGCUGAUCUGCAGGAAGCAGAGAGAGCAGGGCUGUUUGACUCCGUUUCCCUAACGACGUCCCAGCCUCUUUCAGUUCUGUGAGCAAAACCAAGGCUGGGUUUGUUAGCACAGCCUGUGGCAGAGCCUGGGCAGGUCCUUGUAUUCUGGCAAAGGCUGAACCAAAGAGCAGUCUCAUUGCACUAUUUACUUUCUUUUUGUUAUACUCUUUCUGGCUCAGCACAAUCAGUGCAGUCCGAUGCUGCGGAAGACAGACUGUUCCCUCCCUCUUCCCACAGUGUUGUUUCUCGUCUACCUUUUGCCCUUAUUCAGUGGGAAGAAAUUUCUUCUUGACCUCAGCAAUCCUUUCUGACAAUUACCAUAUGCCUCAAGAGACCUGGGAAGCUUCGCCCUGUCUGGCACAGGGAGACAAUUCCUAUCCAGAAUAAAACUGAAAGCUUUAAAAAAAAAAAAAAAAAAAGAAGAAGAAGAAAAGAAAGAAAGAAAGAGAAAAAGAAAGGAAAGAAAGACUGUAAUAAGUUACCUUGUCUCUGGGAGAUUCUGUAACAAUGAAUUGCACAGGCUAAUUAUCCCCUGUAUUAAAAAGUUUUUAAAAGGUUCCUCUUCAUCAUUUAGAGUAUGUUGCCUUGGCGCCGGCCUGGAGAGGGUUAACACAGGAGCCAGGCUGAGUUUAAUUAAAGAAUUUCCGUGUGUCAGCAGCAGAGAAUAACAGUCUCACUUCUCCAACUCAGCAGGAGACUUUGAUUAAAGUGAGAAGCAGCCAAGAUUCCGAGAAGUGCGUCUUUCUCCUGUCUCCUCCCCCAGAUGUGCGGGUACCCUUCCCCCAACACCAUGGAAGAAGGGGUCCAGGAAGAAAAUGUCACACUUGCCUGUGACCCCCACCUGGUCUGCAGAAAGGCAGAGAAGACCUGCUUAUGGAGGAAAAAGACGGCCUCUGUCUGCAGCUUCUAUGAAUUACAUAACGAAUAAGUGAUUUCACUACAAAGCAGUGAAAUUUUUAAAAGUUAACCAGUGGCAGAAGUGUCAGGACAGUCUGCACGGGCAAGAAUGAUACCUAAAUCAUUACUCAGGCACAGGAGAGAGCAGGACUGGCAUGGCUGGCAGCAGGCACUGUACUUUGGCCAAACCAAUCUCCAUUUGCAACAUGUUUCUCCCUUACUGGACUCCACUAUAGAGAGAGUAAAAGCUAAAUUUUGAUGUUCCACCGCCACCCCCUUAUUGAUAUGAGAAAUAAGUCUUCUGGUGCAUUCCUCUCCAAUUUCCGUCUUCUUUCCACUUGAGCUGCUAGGAGAUGCAACAGUCGUUUUGAAACCAAAAAGAUAAAAACUACAUACUAAGAAUGCAUGAACCUAAAGAUUUACAGAGCCUGGGACACUGGGGAUACUUGGAGUCAAUGUAUCAGCCUUGGACUGAUUCCCGUGGGACUUCUUAUUACCCAAGUGAAACAGUCCUUCCUUUCAUCUGUUAAGCCACUAUGGUAUGUUUUGCUGGUUCUCGUAGCCAAAUACAGUUUUGACUGCUAUACCCAUUUUUUUCUUAUGGAUGUUCAUGACUUCUUUUAUAUUGUGGAUUGUAUUGUGAAUAUGUAUCUUAUUUGUUGCAAAUAUUUUCUCAGUCUUUUUGUCCUUUAAUUUAAGAUAUUAUUCAAUGUUUGUAAGGUUUUUAUGUUUAUGCUGUUAUAUAUAUCCAUUUUUUCUGAUUUAUUCAAUUGAAAAAAUUGAGAAACGUAGUUGAUAAUUUUGAACAUUAUUGAAGAAGACAUCAAUAAAACAAAACAUAGUCUAGCAAUUACAAAACAGAAAA